GACAGAGGAUGCAAGCGUUAUCCGGAAUGAUUGGGCGUAAAGCGUCUAUAGGUGGCUUUUCAAGUCCGCCGUCAAAUCCCAGGGCUCAACCCUGGAUAGGCGGUGGAAACUACCAAGCUGGAGUACGGUAGGGGCAGAGGGAAUUUCCGGUGGAGCGGUGAAAUGCAUUGAGAUCAGAAAGAACACCAACGGCGAAAGCACUCUGCUGGGCCGACACUGACACUGAGAGACGAAAGCUAGGGGAGCGAAUGGG
rnacentral:rRNA from 1 species